UACGGAGGGGGCUAGCGUUGUUCGGAAUUAUUGGGCGUAAAGCGCACGUAGGCGGUUCGUUAAGUCGGAUGUGAAAGCCCUCGGCUCAACUGAGGAAGUGCACCCGAAACUGGCGAGCUUGAGUACGAAAGAGGAUCGCGGAAUUCCCGGUGUAGAGGUGAAAUUCGUAGAUAUCGGGAGGAACACCGGUGGCGAAGGCGGCGAUCUGGGUCGAUACUGACGCUGAGGUGCGAAAGCGUGGGGAGCAAACAGG
rnacentral:rRNA from 1 species